rnacentral:rRNA from 1 species
AUUGAACGCUGGCGGCAGGCCUAACACAUGCAAGUCGAGCGAGCGGCGGACGGGUGAGUAAUGUAUGGGGACUGCCCGAUAGAGGGGGAUAACUACUGGAAACGGUAGCUAAUACCGCAUACUAUCGGAUAACCCAUAUGGGAUUAGCUAGUAGGUGAGGUACUGGAUCACCUAGGCGACGAUCCCUAGCUGGUCUGAGAGGAUGAUCAGCCACACUGGGACUGAGACACGGUCCAGACUCCUACGGAGGCAGCAGUGGGGAAUAUUGCACAAUGGGCGCAAGCCUGAGGCAGCCAGGCCGCGUGUAUGAAGAAGGCCAUAGGGUUGUAAAGUACUGUCAGUCGGGAGGCGUUACCGACAGAAGAAGCACCGGCUAACUCCGUGCCAGCAGCCGCGGUAAUAC